ensembl:lncRNA
UGUAAAUUCCCAUCUUUAAAUUUGAGAUUAUUUUAACCAGUAUCUCUAGACAUGACGAGGACGAGGAAUAAUGCCGUUAUGGAACAGUUUUGUUAUAUCUUCAGGUUGUGGUCCUUCAGAGGCGCUAUAAUUACGACAGUGACAUUUCGUAUGUGUUCAGUUGUCCUUUUCCGAAGACCGCUAGAUGGCAGUAACGUGAUGUCUUUUGACUCGAGAUGUUUAUCGGCUGUUCUGUGCACAUGCUUCCCGUCAUGCAAUUAUAGGACCUGAAAUGCUGAGAGGACAUAGAGCUGUCUAAAUGUGCAUAACGCAAACCACAUCUUGGAUAACAUUUUACCCACAGGACCCAGAUGCAGCUGAAAUUAGUGAAGGAGCGGCGCGUGAUGACUGGAUGAACAUCGUCCUGCUCCUGAACACAACAACCCUUCAACAAUUACCAUGGUAACCACAGUUCCUCCCUAAAUACCACAGCUGUUUGGACUCAUUUUGACGGCACCCAUUCACUGCAGAGGAUCCACUGGUGAGCAAGUGAUGUAAUGCUAAAUUUCUCCAAAUCUGUUCCAAUGAGUCCUCUACAUCCUGGAUUAACUGACACCCCCUACAGGGUCUGUGAGUUUUGCUAUAGCCUACCCCAAAGGUGCAGGCUAUGAAGUCUGAGCCGAGCUUUGGAGGGGCAAGAGGUGUAAAGGGAUAAAUGGAAACCGAAUUCAACAGGCUGCUGCCAAGCGUGGUGUCAUCAGCCAAUGCCACACAGGCACCUUUUUCUCCCUGACAGAAGCUGUUCAAGGCAUUUUUUCACCUUCUUAUCUUCUUUUUUAAUCCUUCAAGGACAGGAAGAGCUCUAAUGGGAGAAUAAAGCAUGUGACAUCUACACAUUUUUAUUUAAAAAAAAUGAACAUCACUGCUUGAGACUUUUGAAAGAACCCUUUUUUUUGUGGGAUUUAGCCAUCACUCUCGGUUCUGAGAGAACAACUCGUGUUAUUGACACCACAAGCACCUUUCUAACCCUUCAACACACUCAUUUGGAUGUGUGAGACCAAUCACUAUCAUUCUGCCUGAAUCCUUUAAUAUCAUUUCCGGACUUUCAUCAAGUUUUUGGCUGGUACAUUUGGUUUAGGGAAUCAGAUGGUAUUUGUUACACAAAGAGAGUUGCUCGCACAACCGGAGCUGUUAAUUAUGAUUGGUUUGUUAUUGCUCACCAGAGCAUAACAAAUCGCCAUUAUGUUGUUUUGCUGAGUCUAAUUUAAUUGUAACAAAAGUAAUUAUCCCUCAUUUAUAUUGAUGCCAUAAGCAGAAGUAAGAGAGCACCUGCUGCCAUAAGCCUGUUGUAUACUAAAAAUAAACCUGGUG